UAGGCCAUCAUUGUAAAUAAGAAUGUAUUCUUAACUGACUUGCCUAGUUAAAUAAAAUAAAUAAAAAGCACGCUUCUUCUGUUCCGCAGACAUAUCAAAAGAUCUAAAUACGACCAGCUCUUGUGACUCUCACUGACGCCAUCUCUCUCCUCGUGACUUCAAACGGAACUCCCGGGAGGAGCACACACCUGGAAAAGGAGAAAUAACACCCUGUCUGUGUGUACUUUCACCACCAGAGAGAGCUAUUUGUCCAGGUUUUCUGUCCACUGAUCUCUUUCAGUGAGUAGAAUGUGACGUUGAUUUGCAGUGAGAGACUUAUGUUUCAGAUACGGCAACUGCUCCGCCCUCAACCGUAAGGCUCUCCAGAGGGUAGUG